GACGAACGCUGGCGGCGUGCCUAAUACAUGCAAGUUGAGCGAUGAAGAUUGGUGCUUGCACCAAUUUGAAGAGCAGCGAACGGGUGAGUAACGCGUGGGGAAUCUGCCUUUGAGCGGGGGACAACAUUUGGAAACGAAUGCUAAUACCGCAUAACAACUUUAAACAUAAGUUUUAAGUUUGAAAGAUGCAAUUGCAUCACUCAAAGAUGAUCCCGCGUUGUAUUAGCUAGUUGGUGAGGUAAAGGCUCACCAAGGCGAUGAUACAUAGCCGACCUGAGAGGGUGAUCGGCCACAUUGGGACUGAGACACGGCCCAAACUCCUACGGGAGGCAGCAGUAGGGAAUCUUCGGCAAUGGACGAAAGUCUGACCGAGCAACGCCGCGUGAGUGAAGAAGGUUUACGGAUCGUAAAACUCUGUUGGUAGAGAAGAACGUUGGUGAGAGUGGAAAGCUCAUCAAGUGACGGUAACUACCCAGAAAGGGACGGCUAACUACGUG
rnacentral:rRNA from 1 species